rnacentral:rRNA from 1 species
UACGUAGGCAGCAAGCGUUGUUCGGAGUUACUGGGCGUAAAGGGUGCGUAGGCGGUCCUAUAAGUAUGGUGUGAAAUCUCCCGGCUUAACUGGGAGGGUGCGCUAUAGACUGUGGGACUAGAGUGUGGGAGAGGAAAGUGGAAUUCCUGGUGUAGCGGUGAAAUGCGUAGAUAUCAGGAGGAACACCGGCGGUGUAAACGGCUUUCUGGACCAUAACUGACGUGAGGCACGAAAAGCGUGGGUAGCAAACAGG